rnacentral:lncRNA from 1 species
CCUUAGUAAAUUUAUAGAGAAAUAGAGUAAAGAAUUAAGACAAAAUUUUUAAUGGGAUAAAAAAUAAAAUAGGCCUAGUCAACCCAACCUUACCUAUUACCAUUCCUAAUCGUGAUCCAAUAAUCUUUGAAGUAGUGGGCACGCGCUUGUGGUGUUAAUUUCUUAAAGUAGAUGGGAAAGAUUUAGGGAAAUAUUUGUUUGGGUUGAUGUGUCAAGACUGCAAAAUGCUAUAAAAAAAUCUCAACUGAUUUUGUUGCCGUCAUUGACCAUUUUGCCCUCCAUCCCAAUUGGUUAAUUUAGCGGAAAUGACCUGUGUGCCAACUGCCAAAUGGAAACUAUUUACAAUUUGUCUAUUUUCUUUUUCAACGUAUGAGAGGAGAAACUGUUUCAUGGAACGGCGACGUUAGAAUACCUAUUCAAUCAAUAACAUUUAUUUUAAGGGUAAGUCUUCAAUAUCAUUUUGAUGGCUAUAACUAAUAAACCAAUCAAUAAAAUGAGAAAACAUUAUAA